ensembl:misc_RNA Metazoa_SRP Metazoan signal recognition particle RNA
GCUGGGCAUGGUGGUGCAUGCCUGUAAUCCCAGCUACUCAGGAGGCUGAGGCAGGAGAAUCACUUGAACCCAGGAGGUGGAGGUUGCAGCGAGCCAAGAUCACGCCACUGCACUCCAGCCUGGGUGACAGAGUGAGACUCCGUUUCAA